rnacentral:rRNA from 1 species
CAGACUUGGGCUUGGUUAAUCAUCUGGGGUUCUCCCCAGUGCACUUUUCCAGUCCAGGCCAGCAUCAGUUUGGGCGGUUGGAUAAAGGUCUCUGUCACGUACCUCCUUUCGGGGAGGCCUUAUAGGGGAGACGUCAUACAACCAGCCUGGACUGAGGUCCGCGCAUCUGCUAGGAUGCUGGCGUAAUGGCUGUAAGCGG